CACGGGCCCAAAGAAAUCAAGGUUCAGAAGAGUGGAACCUCCACUAGCUUGAAAUUCAGUGACCGUGUUGGUAGGCAGCCACACAGAAGGGUGGUGCUGACAACACUGAAAUAGCCUGUGUUCUGACAGACUCUCAAUACCAACAUGUUGCUGCUGUCCUUUUUUUUCUGGUAUGGCUUACCACUAUGCUUUAUUUUAAGAUUCUUAUACAGGUGUAUGGCAUUUUGAAGACAUAGCCAAUAUUAUAAUAAUGUGCUAAAACACGAAUCAACAUUUAAUGGAAAUAAGAGAGAAGACCUGAGCAAUUAUAAGCUAACAAAUGGCACUGGUGAGGAAGGCUACUUAAAGAGAAAGCACUGAAUGAAGCAUUUUAAAACAACUUCAGGGCGCCUGGGUGGCUCAGUUGGUUAAGUGACUGCCUUCGGGCUCAGGUCAUGAUC